AGUUAGUGGCGGACGGGUGAGUAACGCGUGGAAAACCUGCCGUAUACUGGGGGAUAACACUUAGAAAUAGGUGCUAAUACCGCAUAAGCGCACAGCUUCGCAUGAAGCGGUGUGAAAAACUCCGGUGGUACAGGAUGGACCCGCGUCUGAUUAGCUGGUUGGCGGGGUAACGGCCCACCAAGGCGACGAUCAGUAGCCGGCCUGAGAGGGUGAACGGCCACAUUGGGACUGAGACACGGCCCAAACUCCUACGGAAGGCAGCAG
rnacentral:rRNA from 1 species